GGAGGAACCCAGGGCGGAAGUGCCGUGUAGGGCUUGCGGGCACUAUGGGCGGAGGCUGUCGGGCCGGGCCGGACCGGACUCGGGCCGGCGAGGCGCAGUGCAGCAACGAGAUGCCUUGGAUUUAAAGACGGUGUGUAUUAAAUGAAGUAUGAGAAGAAACAGCUUCUUCGGACACUUGCGCUCCUCUUCUUCAGCUCGUGGAGGAGGCUGACAGCCUGUCUCACUCUCGUCAGUGCUAUCCCACCAGCUCCUUUAGGAGCCCAGCACCGCGUUUGGCCUGUUGCGAUCUUCCCGCUCCCCUCAUUUCUGUGCUGCAACGCCACCAUCCACGAGAAGUCAGACAGGAGAAAAGCUCUUUCCAGAGAGAUGGAGAAGGAAUUAAUUAGACCUCUGCCUCAUCCUGCAAGACCAGAAGACAUGGAGUAACUGUAAGCUGCGAUUCUCAGGAGACAUACUAAGAGUCUCGGGUUCCUUUUCUGCCCGCCCCCCAAGGCCUUGGGCACGUUGGGUUCACCCUGGGAAGGGCACGUUGCUCAGGGCAGUUAUUUCCUCCCCUAGACGACGUGGGGUGCAUUUCUCUGCUGCACUUGUGGUUUUCCACUUGUGGUUUUCCACGUGGUUCGCACUGCUUCCAUUAUUGAGAAAACGGUUUGGGAAGCUGUGUCUUCUCAGGAUUUUCUGCCACCACCUGCUGGCAAAAAAAAUCAGUAACGCAGGUGGAGCCAUGUAGGACUUCUCAGAGGUAAGCCUUCAACGUAUGGGGACCCCUAAACUAAACUCGUGAGCCGAGCACGCAAGACAAAUGUCCGUGGCACAAAGAUCAAGGACGACUUCUCAGAGUAGGUAAACCUUAGGAGGAAUCGGUCAAAGGAAACAGCAACUGUCAAGUUCUUGUUCGGCAACUCGGUGACUGAUUUGAUCUACUUCUCAGAUGUAGAGGCAAAUGGACUGCUCUUUUGAAAUGAUAAAAUAAAAAACAUGAAUUUUGUCAAA